CAGCCGCCGCGGUAAUACAGAGGGUGCAAGCGUUAAUCGGAAUUACUGGGCGUAAAGCGCGCGUAGGUGGUUCACCAAGUUGGAUGUGAAAUCCCCGGGCUCAACCUGGGAACUGCAUCCAAAACUGGCGAGCUAGAGUAUGGUAGAGGGUGGUGGAAUUUCCUGUGUAGCGGUGAAAUGCGUAGAUAUAGGAAGGAACAUCAGUGGCGAAGGCGACCACCUGGACUGAUACUGACACUGAGGUGCGAAAGCGUGGGGAGCAAACAGGAUUAGAUACCCCAGUAGUCCCUGUCUCUUAUAC
rnacentral:rRNA from 1 species